GGAAUCUUAGACAAUGGGGGAAACCCUGAUCUAGCCAUGCCGCGUGAGUGAUGAAGGCCUUAGGGUUGUAAAGCUCUUUCAGCUGGGAAGAUAAUGACGGUACCAGCAGAAGAAGCCCCGGCUAACUCCGUGCCAGCAGCCGCGGUAAUACGGAGGGGGCUAGCGUGGUUCGGAAUUACUGGGCGUAAAGCGCACGUAGGCGGACCAGAAAGUUGGAGGUGAAAUCCCAGGGCUCAACCUUGGAACUGCCUUCAAAACUAUUGGUCUGGAGUUCGAGAGAGGUGAGUGGAAUUCCGAGUGUAGAGGUGAAAUUCGUAGAUAUUCGGAGGAACACCAGUGGCGAAGGCGGCUCACUGGCUCGAUACUGACGCUGAGGUGCGAAAGUGUGGGGAGCAAAC
rnacentral:rRNA from 1 species